GAGUUUGAUCCUGGCUCAGAUUGAACGCUGGCGGCAGGCCUAACACAUGCAAGUCGAGCGGAAACGAGUUAACUGAACCUUCGGGGAACGUUAACGGCGUCGAGCGGCGGACGGGUGAGUAAUGCCUGGGAAAUUGCCCUGAUGUGGGGGAUAACCAUUGGAAACGAUGGCUAAUACCGCAUAAUAGCUUCGGCUCAAAGAGGGGGACCUUCGGGCCUCUCGCGUCAGGAUAUGCCCAGGUGGGAUUAGCUAGUUGGUGAGGUAAUGGCUCACCAAGGCGACGAUCCCUAGCUGGUCUGAGAGGAUGAUCAGCCACACUGGAACUGAGACACGGUCCAGACUCCUACGGGAGGCAGCAGUGGGGAAUAUUGCACAAUGGGCGCAAGCCUGAUGCAGCCAUGCCGCGUGUAUGAAGAAGGCCUUCGGGUUGUAAAGUACUUUCAGCAGUGAGGAAGGUGGGUAUGUUAAUAGCAUACUCAUUUGACGUUAGCUGCAGAAGAAGCACCGGCUAACUCCGUGCCAGCAGCCGCGGUAAUACGGAGGGUGCGAGCGUUAAUCGNAAUUACUGGGCGUAAAGCGCAUGCAGGUGGUUUGUUAANUCAGAUGUGAAAGCCCGGGGCUCAACCUCGGAAUUGCUUUUUGAAACUCGGCUAACUCNAUUACUUGUAGAGGGGGGGGANAA
rnacentral:rRNA from 1 species